rnacentral:lncRNA from 1 species
AAUAAGAAAAAGUGUUAAAUCAAGAAAUUACUACUCUCUCUUUAGUAUGCUUGAAAUUGGUUUUUUUUCCAUAUUUUUAAGCUAAGUUCAAUUUUUAUUAAUAAAGGUUAUUUCAGUGAAUCUCAAUUAUUACCAGAAAACAUUAAGGAUUCCCUUGAAAGCACAUUCACUUUUAAAGUUGAAAAGAAAUUAAUCUGAAAGACUGACACUUUGAAAGUUGUUCAAUAUUAAAUCAAGAUGCCAUCAAAAAUUACUAUACGUUUCUUCUUGGUGAAGUCUGCAUGCAAUUAUUGACCUUUCAUUUUAAUAAUUGUGUCAGUGUUCUGUUGAAAAGAGAAACAUUGCCCCGAAAGUGAUAUUGCUUUGAACUGUGAUACUUUAAAUUGGUUAAGAAAUGAGAAUUUUUUUAUUUGGUGCAUUUGAAUAAACUUAAC